rnacentral:rRNA from 1 species
UAAGGAAUAUUGGUCAAUGGAGGCAACUCUGAACCAGCCAUGCCGCGUGCAGGAAGACAGCCCUCUGGUUCGUAAACUGCUUUUAUCUGGGAAUAAACCUACUUACGUGUAAGUAGCUGAAUGUACCAGAAGAAUAAGGAUCGGCUAACUCCGUGCCAGCAGCCGCGGUAAUACGGAGGAUCCAAGCGUUAUCCGGAUUUAUUGGGUUUAAAGGGUGCGUAGGCGGCCUGUUAAGUCAGGGGUGAAAGACGGUAGCUCAACUAUCGCAGUGCCCUUGAUACUGACAGGCUUGAAUGAACUAGAGGUAGGCGGAAUGUGACAAGUAGCGGUGAAAUGCAUAGAUAUGUCACAGAACACCGAUUGCGAAGGCAGCUUACUAUGGUUUUAUUGACGCUGAGGCACGAAAGCGUGGGUAUCAAACAGG